rnacentral:snRNA from 1 species
AUUGCUUCUUGGCAUUUUGGCUAAGAUCAAGUGU